rnacentral:rRNA from 1 species
CCGGGGGGAACGAAACCAAUUCCCGAAAGGGGUGCUAAUACCGGAUGUGACGCUCCUAUCGCAUGACGGGAGCGUGAAAGAUGGCCUCUACAUGUAAGCUAUCGCUAAAGGAUGGGCCUGCGUCUGAUUAGCUAGUUGGUAGUGUAACGGACAACCAAGGCGAUGAUCAGUAGCCGGUCUGAGAGGAUGAACGGCCACAUUGGGACUGAGACACGGCCCAG